UUUGGUGGCGAUAGCGAAGAGGUCACACCCGUUCCCAUGCCGAACACGGAAGUUAAGCUCUUCAGCGCCGAUGGUAAUCGGGGGUUUCCCCCUGUGAGAGUAGGACGCCGCCAAGC
rnacentral:rRNA from 1 species